CAAUAGCGUAUAUUAACGUUGUUGCAGUUAAAAAGCUCGUAGUUGGAUUUCUGGAGGGAGCGUCGGCCCGUAUUUACGAGUGCGUGACGUCUCUGUCCAUCCUUGCGGGAAGGCACGGCAUUGAUUUGUUGUGUCGGAUCGCAUCAUUUACUGUGAAAAAAUUAGAGUGUUCAAAGCAGGCUUUCGCUUGAAUACAUUAGCAUGGAAUAAUAAGAUAGGACUUUGGUGCUAUUUUGUUGGUUGAGCCUAAAGUAAUGAUUGAUAGGGAUAGUUGGGGGCACCUGUAUUGCGUUGUCAGAGGUGAAAUUCUUGGAUUUACGCAAGACAAACAGCUGCGAAAGCGUCUGCCAAGGAUGUUUUCAUUAA
rnacentral:rRNA from 1 species